CCUACGGGGGGCAGCAGUGGGGAAUAUUGCACAAUGGGGGAAACCCUGAUGCAGCGACGCCGCGUGAGUGAAGAAGUAUUUCGGUAUGUAAAGCCCUAUCAGCAGGGAAGAAAAUGACGGUACCCGAUUAAGAAGCCCCGGCUAACUACGUGCCAGCAGCCGUGGUAAUACGUAGGGGGCAAGCGUUAUCCGGAUUUACUGGGGGGAAAGGGAGCGUAGGCGGCAGCACAAGUCUGGAGUGAAAUGCCGGGGCUUAACCCCGGAACUGCUUUGGAAACUGUGCAGCUAGAGUGCAGGAGAGGUAAGUGGAAUUCCUAGUGUAGCGGUGAAAUGCGUAGAUAUUAGGAGGAACACCAGUGGCGAAGGCGGCUUACUGGACUGUAACUGACGUUGAGGCUCGAAAGCGUGGGGAGCAAACAGGAUUAGAUACCCGAGUAGUC
rnacentral:rRNA from 1 species